GAUGAACGCUGGCGGCGUGCCUAAUACAUGCAGGUCGAGCGAACGGACGAGAAGCUUGCUUCUCUGAUGUUAGCGGCGGACGGGUGAGUAACACGUGGAUAACCUACCUAUAAGACUGGGAUGACUUCGGGAAACCGGAGCUAAUACCGGAUAAUAUUUUGAACCGCAUGGUUCAAAAGUGAAAGACGGUCUUGCUGUCACUUAUAGAUGGAUCCGCGCUGCAUUAGCUAGUUGGUAAGGUAACGGCUUACCAAGGCAACGAUGCAUAGCCGACCUGAGAGGGUGAUCGGCCACACUGGAACUGAGACACGGUCCAGACUCCUACGGGAGGCAGCAGUAGGGAAUCUUCCGCAAUGGGCGAAAGCCUGACGGAGCAACGCCGCGUGAGUGAUGAAGGUCUUCGGAUCGUAAAACUCUGUUAUUAGGGAAGAACAUAUGUGUAAGUAACUGUGCACAUCUUGACGGUACCUAAUCAGAAAGCCACGGCUAACUACGUG
rnacentral:rRNA from 1 species